rnacentral:lncRNA from 1 species
GGUCUGUUGGCUUGAGAGUGACUCAGUAAUCAAUUAAGGGGAGUCAAUACAUGAGCUAGGAAGAGGGACUUCUCUGAUGUAGGUGGAAUCAUUUCAUGUGAGUGGCUGUCUUUUAGACCUUUGCCUCACAGAGGACUCUAUUGGAUUUCUAGGAGAGAAGGCAAAACCAAAAUAGUUGUGAAAAAUAAUAGCACUUGGUGCAACUGUGUGAGUGAGUCUAACCAACCAGAUAGCCAGAUCUGAGCACUGGCUGGUAGAGAAGUGUCCUGAUUUUACAAGAGGCGAGCAGCCUUUGCAGACGAUAGCUAAGAAUGCUGCCGAGCUGCUCAAGGAGGAUGAGGAGGAGCUAGGGAGCUGUCGUCUUUCAAAUGAGGAAGCACCAAGAAGAAGCUCUCACCACUCCCGUCAACCAGCCAGCUUCUAUUCCCAGGGCUUCCCAGGUGGCUCGGUGGUAAAGAAUCCACCUGCUGGUGCAGGAGAUGCAAGAGAUGUGGGUUUGAUCCCUGGGUUAAGAAGAUACCCUGGAGGAGGAAAUGAAAACCCACUCCAGUGUUCUUGCCAGGGAAAUCCCGUGGACAGAGGAGCCUGGUUGGCUGCAAUCCAUGGAGCUGCAAAGACUUGGACACAACUGAGCACAGCACAGAGCUCAGGUAGCUUGAAAUUCACUUCCUCUGGGAAGACUGCCAAACUCCUCAAACUAAGUGAAUCAUCAUGCCUGAAUGACUGGGAUCCCUCAAGAGUUGGAACCACGUUAUUAAUGAGUGUGCUGUGGAGAGGACCAGAGAAGUGGAAGUUGCUCACUUCCGUAAGAUGGCAAGGUGCUCUCUGUCCCAGCGGAAAUACACGUGGCAGAAUCCCAGAGUUGCAGCCAAGACAGAACCUUGGCUUUAAUCACUGUUCCUCUGACUUCUCUUCAAG